AAUAGAUACCCCGGUAGUCCACGCCGUAAACGAUGAGUGCUAAGUGUUAGGGGGUUUCCGCCCCUUAGUGCUGCAGCUAACGCAUUAAGCACUCCGCCUGGGGAGUACGGUCGCAAGACUGAAACUCAAAGGAAUUGACGGGGGCCCGCACAAGCGGUGGAGCAUGUGGUUUAAUUCGAAGCAACGCGAAGAACCUUACCAGGUCUUGACAUCCCGCUGACCGGUCUAGAGAUAGACUUUUCCCUUCGGGGACAGCGGUGACAGGUGGUGCAUGGUUGUCGUCAGCUCGUGUCGUGAGAUGUUGGGUUAAGUCCCGCAACGAGCGCAACCCUUGAUCUUAGUUGCCAGCAUUCAGUUGGGCACUCUAAGGUGACUGCCGGUGAUAAACCGGAGGAAGGUGGGGAUGACGUCAAAUCAUCAUGCCCCUUAUGACCUGGGCUACACACGUGCUACAAUGGACGGUACAGAGGGUCGCAACCCCGCGAGGGUGAGCUAAUCCCAUAAAACCGUUCUCAGUUCGGAUUGUAGGCUGCAACUCGCCUA
rnacentral:rRNA from 1 species